rnacentral:rRNA from 1 species
UACGGAGGGUGCAAGCGUUAAUCGGAAUUACUGGGCGUAAAGCGCGCGUAGGCGGUUUUUUAAGUCGGAUGUGAAAGCCCCGGGCUCAACCUGGGAACUGCAUCCGAUACUGGAAGACUAGAAUGCGAGAGAGGGAGGUAGAAUUCCAUGUGUAGCAGUGAAAUGCGUAGAUAUAUGGAGGAAUACCAGUGGCGAAGGCGGCCUCCUGGCUCGACAUUGACGCUGAGGUGCGAAAGCGUGGGGAGCAAACGGG